UCCUGGUUAACCCAGGCAGUCUCAUUAGAGUUCCCACCUUAAAUGUUGGCAACUAAUGAUAAGGGUUGCGCUCGUUGCGGGACUUAACCCAACACCUCACGGCACGAGCUGACGACAGCCAUGCAGCACCUGUGCAGCAGUCCCGAAGGAAGAUGCCAUUUCUGGCACUGUCUACUGCAUGUCAAGUCUGGGUAAGGUUCUUCGCGUUGCAUCGAAUUAAACCACAUGCUCCACUGCUUGUGCGGGUCCCCGUCAAUUCUUUUGAGUUUCACCCUUGCGAGCGUACUCCUCAGGCGGUAUACUUAUCGCGUUAGCUUCGGCACAGCUGGGGUUGAUUCCAGUUACACCAAGUAUACAUCGUUUACGGCAAGGACUAC
rnacentral:misc_RNA from 1 species